GUGUGGGUGUGGUCAGAUCUGAUCUUGAGCGUGCUGAUUGGUCCGGCCGGGGUGUGAGCGUGGUUAGAUCUGAUCUUGAGCGUGCUGAUUGGACAAGCAUGGUGUGGGCGUGGUCAGAUCUGAUCUCGAGCGUGCUGAUUGGACAUACAGGUAUGGGCAUGGUCAGAUCUGAUCUCGAGUGUGCUGAUUGAACAGGCGGGUGUGGGCGUGGUUAGAUCUGAUCUAGAAUGUGCUGAUUGGACAGGGGUGUGUGGGCGUGGUCAGAUCUGAUCUCGAGUGUGCUGAUUGGACAGGGGUGUGUGGGCGUGGUUAGAUCUGAUCUCGAGCAUGCUGAUUGGACAGGGGUGUGUGGGCUUGGUCAAAUCAGAUCUCAAGUGUGCUGAUUGGACAGACAGGUGUGGGCGUGGUCAG